CCCGGUCAACCCUAGCCCCCAAUAGACGGGACGCCACACCCUCCAGGGUCAGUUCUUCCUCUCCCCCCUGCCGGAGCCAAGGGUGCGGCUGCGGAGGCGAGCCUCUCCGGCGGCGGCGGCGGCAACGUGCAAGCAAAGGGCAACCACAUGGGUCAGUCCUUGCAGGAGAGAGAAGAUGGGAGGGAGGAAAGAAGGAAGGAGAGGAGGGAGAAAGAGAGAGGAAAAAGGAGAGGGAGGCCCGGUGGUGGAUGGGAGAGGGUUACUGGCCGGCGCCGGCCUGCAGCGGUAAGGUCAGGUGCGACCUGGCGGUUAGUGGCAGCUCAAUCUCCUGGAUCCUUCUUUUCCACUUCCCUGUUGCCUACCACCGAGCAUGGGUCAGGGAGCAUGGAUUGACGACGGCGGUUGGAAGCCAGGAGGGCUGGCCAAGGAAGCGGGUGAGGACGCGAGGAUUGAAGAGGGUGUUCCUGUGUUCAUCGCCUGGCCAAGGAAGAGGACGACGACGCUGGGUGGAAUAGGCUGAGAUGAUGGUUUUCUCCAAUGAUUAUGGUGGCCUGAGGCGGAGAUCGACAGUGAGAGAUGCUUGUGGCUGCUGCACAAAACGUGCUCGCUUGCUGACCUCGAGGUCCAGCCGCAAUGGAUCGACCCCAUGGUGUCUAGCCCCCUCUUCCUCAUUCCUUUCUCAUGCUUAUAUCCUAUAUACAUGCCCAAGAAACGUUGUGGUGAUGCAGUCCCUCGAAUUUAUCCCUUGUUGCGUGUAUCCUGUAGUAAGCAUAACCUGAUGCACCUCCAUGUCGGCUUAAAUCUGGUAUGGCUGCUUAUCUGCUCUAAUGUUGGCUUCCUGUACGGUUUUAUUCUCAUUUCUCUUGGGUUGCUCAUGCAGAAUUUUGCCAAGCUAUUCCACACCAUGGAGCAGGUUAGCAUGAGCUCACUUGAUGAAGCUGCAACAAAGUUCCUCCUUGGAGAAGGCCAUGAGGAGUCCAAUAUGAGAAGUUGGUAUUUGUACAAUUUCCUCUACGUAAUUCUUUAGCUACAUGAUAAAUACCAAUCCAAGACGCUGCUGCUCUUUGUCCCCAUCGUUGGCCGGGUCUUCACACUGGGGGUGGAGGAACAGGGGAGGGCCAAGAUGCCAGCGGUGUGGGGUGGAGCAGGGAGGCCAGAGACCCAGGCGACAGACGCCUCACAGGGUGGAGGAGAGGCUGGCGAUAGGCUGGCGAUGGGGACAAGGAGCAGCAGCGUCAUGGAUCUGAAGAGAAUGGGAGGUCCCGACGGCUAAAGAUGGUGGGCAUGGGAGGAGCUCAGGGCGGCACUCCCAUGGAGGGAUGAUGAUGU